rnacentral:rRNA from 1 species
GACGAACGCUGGCGGCGUGCUUAACACAUGCAAGUCGAACGGAAAGGCCCUGCUUUUGUGGGGUGCUCGAGUGGCGAACGGGUGAGUAACACGUGAGUAACCUGCCCUUGACUUUGGGAUAACUUCAGGAAACUGGGGCUAAUACCGGAUAGGAGCUCCUGCUGCAUGGUGGGGGUUGGAAAGUUUCGGCGGUUGGGGAUGGACUCGCGGCUUAUCAGCUUGUUGGUGGGGUAGUGGCUUACCAAGGCUUUGACGGGUAGCCGGCCUGAGAGGGUGACCGGCCACAUUGGGACUGAGAUACGGCCCAGACUCCUACGGGAGGCAGCAGUGGGGAAUAUUGCACAAUGGGCGGAAGCCUGAUGCAGCAACGCCGCGUGCGGGAUGACGGCCUUCGGGUUGUAAACCGCUUUCGCCUGUGACGAAGCGUGAGUGACGGUAAUGGGUAAAGAAGCGCCGGCUAACUACAUG